rnacentral:rRNA from 1 species
GAUGAACGCUGGCGGCGUGCCUAAUACAUGCAAGUCGAGCGAACAGACGAGGAGCUUGCUCCUCUGACGUUAGCGGCGGACGGGUGAGUAACACGUGGAUAACCUACCUAUAAGACUGGGAUAACUUCGGGAAACCGGAGCUAAUACCGGAUAAUAUAUUGAACCGCAUGGUUCAAUAGUGAAAGACGGUUUUGCUGUCUCUUAUAGAUGGAUCCGCGCCGCAUUAGCUAGUUGGUAAGGUAACGGCUUACCAAGGCGACGAUGCGUAGACGACCUGAGAGAGUGAUCGGCCACACUGGAACUGAGACACGGUCAAGACUCCUACGGGAGGCAGCAGUCGGGAAUCUUACGCAAUAGGCGAAAGCCUUACGGAGCAACGCCGCGUGAGUGAUGAAGGUCUUCGGAUCGUAAAGCUCUGUUAUUAGGGAAGAACAAAUGUGUAAGUAACUAUGCACGUCUUGACGGUACCUGAUCAGAAAGCCACGGCUAACUACGUG